rnacentral:tRNA from 1 species
AUUACUUUGGCAGAUAAGUGCUUUAGAUUUAGGAUUUAAAUAUGUAUUAUAAUAAUAGUACAAGUAAUA